UUUAGGCUCAUGGUACUGAGGAAGGGUCAAACUACCACCAGGGUCAUAAAACCACCCCUGGAAAUACCCUCAACUCAUAUGAAAGCCUUGUCAAAUAGGUGUUUCUUUAGGCUCAUGGUACAGAGGAAGGGUCAAACUACCACCAGGGUCAUAAAACUACUCCUGGAAAUGUCCUCAACUCAUACGAAAGCCUUGUCAAAUAGGUGUUUCUUUAGGUUCAUGGUACUGAGGAAGGGUCAAACUACCACCAGGGUCAUAAAACUACUCCUGGAAAUGUCCUCAACUCAUACGAAAGCCUUGUCAAAUAGGUGUUUCUUUAGGCUCAUGGUACUGAGGAAGGGUCAAACUACCACCAGGGUCAUAAAACUACUCCUGGAAAUACCCUCAACUCAUACGAAAGCCUUGUCAAAUAGGUGUUUCUUUAGGCUCAUGGUACAGACGAAGGGUCAAACUACCACCAGGGUCAUAAAACUACCCCUGGAAAUGUCCUUAACUCAUACGAAAGCCUUGUCAAAUAGGUGUUUCUUUAGGCUCAUGGUACUGAGGAAGGGUCAAACUACCACCAGGGUCAUAAAACUACCCCUGGAAACACCCUCAACUCAUACGAAAGCCUUGUCAAAUCUGUGAACUUGGGAGACGAAAUGUUUUAAAAUACGACGCUAUAUUAUAAGGAGGAGAGGAACAGUGGUGGUGGCGGUGGUAGUGGGGUGGAGGCUACGUGAAGACCCGUGUGUCGUCCGUCCCUCAGUGAUCAGGUUACCGCGUGGCAUGAGAGAGGAACCACACGACCCCACGACCCCUUCAGCUCUCUCUCUCUCUCUCUCUCUCUCUCUCUCUCUCUCUCUCUCUCUCUCUCUGUUCCACCCUCAUUUCCUUCACUCUCCUCCUCCUCCGUCAAUGGGUCGGGCCGCGUCCUCUC